GACGGAGGAUGCAAGCGUUAUCCGGAAUGAUUGGGCGUAAAGCGUCCGCAGGUGGCAGUUCAAGUCUGCUGUCAAAGACCGGGGCUUAACUUCGGAAAGGCAGUGGAAACUGAACAGCUAGAGUAUGGUAGGGGCAGAGGGAAUUCCUGGUGUAGCGGUGAAAUGCGUAGAGAUCGGGAGGAACGACCGGUGGCGAAGGCGGGCUCUGGGCAAUUCCUGACGCUGAGGCGCGAAAGCGUGGGGAGCAAACUGGG
rnacentral:rRNA from 1 species